GUAAGAAUCGAAGAGAAACCAGCCUGGAAUGAUUUAAAGAGCUGGUUGCUGGUUGGUCUCAGACCAAAUAUUGGUAAGAAAAUCAAGAGAGGCUUCUCCUUCAGAGCUAAGGUGAUCCCUCAGAUCCGUUCCUGGAUAAACUCUGAAGAACUGAGCUCCGUUCCUCGCCCGCCGCUGGCUGAGCAGGUGGGACGUCACAGCGGUGCUAGUUCCAUAAAGUGCCUACAGUUCUCCAUCUGGAACAAAGGAAUAAGGUUAGUGGUAGUGAUAUUUCUAAAUGGUAUUUAUAUGGUGCUUUGAAAAAAACCCGAAACUGGUGUGAUUAGUUUGGGGGUGUUUUUUUCAGCAAGGAACUAGUUGAACAGAGAGUGAGAGGAUGCGUUUGUCCCUUUUCCUUUAGGUUUCAGUCUGGAACUGAGUCACAAGCACUGGGGCCAGCAGGAACACAGUGACCCUCCAGCCCUCACGGGUGACUUCAGCCCUGGGCAGCCCCUGCCUGUCCAUCAGCGCUGAAGGUACUCAGAAAGGAGAUGGUCUCUUAGUUUUAGCAGGAAAACACUUCUGGCAAAUCUAGCUAAAAUACACGUUCCCUUUGCAUACUUACAUGACUGUUUUAGGGCAAAUUAACUCUGUAUCAACCUGAGAUGAAGUGGGUUUUGUUCACUAGGAUUGUAUAAGGGUUCAUAAGCAUUUACCUUCUGCUUCUAGCUAAGGAGAAUGAGUUAGCAGUACUGAGUGAGAUGAGAAAACAAGCAAGCCUUGUGUUUAUUCAAAGGUUAUGCAAUUACUUUAGUUGAUAUUUUUGCUCUGUGACAAUAAUGAUACAGUAUUUUAUGCAAAUAUAAUUAAUAAUGAAUAUUGUGAAUGCUGAUAUUUUAAGGAAUUGUAUUGCAAGAAUAAAAAAAUGCUUAUUUGGUCUUAAGUGUCA
rnacentral:lncRNA from 1 species